GUCACUUUGUUGGUACGUGAACUAAAAUUGGAAUCAUACAGAGAAUAUUAGCAUUGGCCUUGCACAUAGAUGCAAUACAAAAUUGUGAAGUGUUAAAAAAUGAA